UACGGAGGGUGCAAGCGUUGUCCGGAUUUAUUGGGUUUAAAGGGUGCGUAGGCGGUUUUGUAAGUCAGUGGUGAAAUCUCAGAGCUCAACUCUGAAUGUGCCAAUGAUACUGCAGGACUUGAGAGCAGUCGAGGUAGCUGGAAUGUGUAGUGUAGCGGUGAAAUGCAUAGAGAUUACACAGAACACCAAUUGCGAAGGCAAGUUACUAGACUGUUUCAGACGCUGAUGCACGAAAGUGUGGGUAGCGAACAGG
rnacentral:rRNA from 1 species